UACGUAGGGUGCAAGCGUUAAUCGGAAUUACUGGGCGUAAAGCGUGCGCAGGCGGUUAUAUAAGACAGAUGUGAAAUCCCCGGGCUCAACCUGGGAACUGCAUUUGUGACUGUAUAGCUAGAGUACGACAGAGGGGGAUGGAAUUCCGCGUGUAGCAGUGAAAUGCGUAGAUAUGCGGAGGAACACCGAUGGCGAAGGCAAUCCCCUGGGCCUGUACUGACGCUCAUGCACGAAAGCGUGGGGAGCAAACAGG
rnacentral:rRNA from 1 species